GGGGAAUCUUCCGCAAUGGACGAAAGUCUGACGGAGCAACGCCGCGUGAGUGAUGACGGCCUUCGGGUUGUAAAGCUCUGUUAAUCGGGACGAAAGGCCUUCUUGCGAAUAGUUAGAAGGAUUGACGGUACCGGAAUAGAAAGCCACGGCUAACUACGUGCCAGCAGCCGCGGUAAUACGUAGGUGGCAAGCGUUGUCCGGAAUUAUUGGGCGUAAAGCGCGCGCAGGCGGAUUGGUCAGUCUGUCUUAAAAGUUCGGGGCUUAACCCCGUGAUGGGAUGGAAACUGCCAAUCUAGAGUAUCGGAGAGGAAAGUGGAAUUCCUAGUGUAGCGGUGAAAUGCGUAGAUAUUAGGAAGAACACCAGUGGCGAAGGCGACUUUCUGGACGAAAACUGACGCUGAAGCGCGAAAGCCAGGGGAGCGAACGGGAUUAGAUACCCCGGUAGUCCUGGCCGUAAACGAUGGGUACUAGGUGUAGGAGGUAUCGACCCCUUCUGUGCCGGAGUUAACGCAAUAAGUACCCCGCCUGGGGAGUACGACCGCAAGGUUG
rnacentral:rRNA from 1 species